CCAGACUCCUACGGGAGGCAGCAGUGGGGAAUAUUGGACAAUGGACCAAGAGUCUGAUCCAGCAAUUCUGUGUGCACGAUGAAGUUUUUCGGAAUGUAAAGUGCUUUCAGUUGGGAAGAAAGAAAUGACGGUACCAACAGAAGAAGUGACGGCUAAAUACGUGCCAGCAGCCGCGGUAAUACGUAUGUCACGAGCGUUAUCCGGAUUUAUUGGGCGUAAAGCGCGUCUAGGUGGUUAUAUAAGUCUGAUGUGAAAAUGCAGGGCUCAACUCUGUAUUGCGUUGGAAACUGUAUAACUAGAGUACUGGAGAGGUAAGCGGAACUACAGGCGUAGAGGUGAAAUUCGUAGAUAUUUGUAGGAAUGCCGAUGGGGAAGCCAGCUUACUGGACAGAUACUGACGCUGAAGCGCGAAAGCGUGGGUAGCAAACAGGAUUAGAUACCCUGGUAGUCCACGCCGUAAACGAUGAUUACUAGGUGUUGGGGGUCGAACCUCAGCGCCCAAGCAAACGCGAUAAGUAAUCCGCCUGGGGAGUACGUACGCAAGUAUGAAACUCAAAGGAAUUGACGGGGGCCCGCACGAG
rnacentral:rRNA from 1 species